rnacentral:lncRNA from 1 species
UGGGAGUUCAUAGUUGUGACCUAAGAAAGAUCACUUCUGUGCAGUGGUCUGGCACAAGUGCUCUCUUUCAGAGGCCGGACAGUGUUCGGAGUGGAGGUGAAGAGAAUUAAGGGAGAAAAAGUCUGUUCUUGACUGGAACUCUCCAGCCUGCGGCGCUGGGGAGAAGGGACACUCUCACAAGGGCUGUAGUGUCUCGGCGCCACCCAGAGGGUGCACAGAGCGUGGACCCCUCGUCCUCCAGCUCUCGGGGCCACAGCGGGGCUCUGGGCCCGGCCAAGUAUCUUGCUGAAGCUCGCACAGCUGGGCGAACAGCCACGAGCAAGCUAGUCUGAAAACACCCUCCACGUGAAAGAGCUACAGUCCCCAAGGCCUGGGAGAAACUCUGUCCAGGUGUCUGCAUUCUGCUGCUUUGCUCAGCUAGGUUCAGCCUGCAGUUGUCCUGGACAUGCCUGAGCUCCAAGCAUGCGA